rnacentral:rRNA from 1 species
UUUAGAGGAAGUAAAAGUCGUAACAAGGUUUCCGUAGGUGAACCUGCGGAAGGAUCAUUAUUGAUUGGUCGAAAGACCUUAUCAGAUUCUACCACCUCUGUGAACCGUUGACCUCCGGGUUAAUAAUCAAACAUCAGUGUAACGAACGUAAGAGUAUCUUAAUUAAACAAAACUUUUAACAACGGAUCUCUUGGCUCUCGCAUCGAUGAAGAACGCAGCGAAAUGCGAUAAGUAAUGUGAAUUGCAGAAUUCAGUGAAUCAUCGAAUCUUUGAACGCACCUUGCGCCUUUUGGUAUUCCGAAAGGCAUGCCUGUUUCAGUGUCAUGAAAUCUCAAUCUAAUAUGUUUUCUGAACAUGUUAGGCUUGGACUUGGGUGUCUGCCAGCAAUGGCUCACCUUAAAUGACUUAGUGGAACAUCCCACAUCAGUGUUAGACGUAAUAAGUUUCGUCUCUCCCUGUGGUGAUGACUGCUCAGAACCUGCCAUCGCGCAUCUUUUGACUUUGACCUGAAAUCAGGUAGGGCUACCCGCUGAACUUAAGCAUAUCAAUAAG